rnacentral:rRNA from 1 species
GACGAACGCUGGCGGCGUGCUUAACACAUGCAAGUCGAACGCUGAAGCUCAGCUUUUGUUGGGUGGAUGAGUGGCGAACGGGUGAGUAACACGUGAGUAACCUGCCCCCUUCUUUGGGAUAACGCCCGGAAACGGGUGCUAAUACUGGAUAUUCACUGGUCUUCGCAUGGGGGUUGGUGGAAAGGGUUUUUCUGGUGGGGGAUGGGCUCGCGGCCUAUCCGCUUGUUGGUGGGGUGAUGGCCUACCAAGGCUUUGACGGGUAGCCGGCCUGAGAGGGUGACCGGUCACAUUGGGACUGAGAUACGGCCCAGACUCCUACGGGAGGCAGCAGUGGGGAAUAUUGCACAAUGGGCGCAAGCCUGAUGCAGCGACGCCGCGUGAGGGAUGGAGGCCUUCGGGUUGUGAACCUCUUUCGCUCAUGGUCAAGCCGCAACAAUGGUUGUGGUGAGGGUAGUGGGUAAAGAAGCGCCGGCUAACUACGUG